rnacentral:rRNA from 1 species
GACGUAGGGUGCAAGCGUUGUCCGGAUUUACUGGGCGUAAAGCGCGCGUAGGCGGCUCGUUAAGUGUGGAGUGAAAUGCCGGGGCUCAACCCCGGAACUGCUUUACAUACUGGCGAGCUUGAGGGAUGCAGAGGUUUGUGGAAUUCCGGGUGUAGCGGUGGAAUGCGUAGAGAUCCGGAAGAACACCGGAGGCGAAGGCGGCUUGCUGGGCUUGGUCUGACGCUGAGGCGCGAAAGCGUGGGGAGCGAACAGG